GUCAUGACAAAGAUGUUGCAGAAGAUUGCAUUAUCUUUUAAGGGUCUGUCCGCCCCUAUUAAGAAGCGACCACACUCCAUUUCUGUGAGACCCGCUGAGGACCCUAAACCCCAGCUUGGGAACCCGUGCACUAUAGGGCAUGCUCUCCGGCGUCAGGGCUGAAUGGAGGCAUGGGCUACAGAGAAAGAAAGAGAGGAGGAGGAAAUGAAGUGAGAGGUUGUAGCGGAGUUGCAUGGGAUGCUGCUGCUGCUGCUGGUGAUACUGGUGCCGCAGCAGAGGCUCCAUCCAUCUAUCCAUCCAUCCAUCCGUCGCUCCAUCCCUCCCUCGAAGAGAAAGCAGAAAACAAGGAGUGGUUAUACGAUUCCCCACAAGCAGAAGGAGAAGCGCACAGAAGAGAAAGGAAUAGCAGAGAGAGGAGGAGGGGGGCGUUUCCCUGCACGGUUUAGCCUAUUCUCACUCCUCAGCAUGGAUACAAUGUGAUGCAUAUGGAGUUGCUUCUUCAGGGAAAGCGGUAAGUUAAGCAUUUUUCGCUGUUAUUUGAGCAUGAAAAGCGUUUUGGAUCCAGUUGACAAUGCGGCGUUGGUCAAGGUCCCAUCACUUUAGGCUGUCCUAAAAUAACGGGAAAAUUUUGAUCAUCCCUGAAGUGAGAAAAAAACCCAAUUAGAAUUAAAACCUAAGGCUGAAAUUGCCGUUUGUACAUGCACGGCGUGGGAUUUACGCACGAUCAAUUAGCCGUUGGCACGCGUAAUGAUUUGAUAACUAACUAAAACAGGUUGGUCCCAGCAGCGUCACCCCCAAGUUCCCAUCAAACGACUUGAUGAGGGCUGCACCUGAACGCAGCUUAAUAUUUAACCACCUCCAGCAGCAGCAGCAUGUGUCAACGUGGCUUCCUCUUCCCUUCCCUUCCUUUGUAGCCUGUAGGAGCAGAGACAAAGAUGGUUCAACUCUCCCUCUAAAGGGUUAAAGAUUCAAUCCACGCUUGCCACUCUGAACUGGGUUCUCCUUGUCAGUGGGAGCGGAUGUAUUUACAAACAAAGAAAGCUUGAUAUCCACGCGUGUCACGUAGAAGACAGGUGCUGGUUUAAGUGCUUUUUUUUUUUUUUUUUUUUUACAGUGGUUGUGUGUGGUUGUCUGCUUAUCUGGGCCAGUAGGCCAAAUAAAGCCUUAAUGGUGCAUUUUAGGCCCAGCAGGAAGAUUAAGGAAACCAAAGUGUUUCUGUUAAGUUUGCCACUAAAAGUUUCUUGUUCUGUACUCUUGGCUGUAUUUGUUGCAAAAGCCAGCACUGUAUCGUUUACUUUUCUGUCUGGGUAUUGACUGUUUGACUCCACUGUGCAGCCAAAAUGACUGCAAAGAUUUGCUGUUGCAGGCAUAAGCAUAAACAUCUUUCAUAACAGCGCCUUUAGUUCCAAGCAAUUAAGCAGUGAUGUGCAAGCAGCAGAGCCCAGCGUCCUGCUCAGUCUGUCUCCAUCUCAAGCUCCAACGCAGCUCUUGUUGUUGCCUCUAGCACUGCCACUUGUGAUUCUGCAACACCAGGUACAUUAAAGGAUUGAUAAGUCGAGCAUAAAUAUGACACAGACCGAGCGCCUUUUAUUAGCAGUCCCAGCUGGAGCCAACUCACUUUCAAUCAAGUCAAUUCAGGAAAUGGAUUUUUUUUUUUUUAUAAAAGCAUGCCAGAUGUCUACCACUAUGAAAUAAAGUUCUUUUCUGCCCGUGCAGCUUCAAUUGGGGCCAGAGGUGUAGUUUUGAAACGUGUAGACGGGGUCAGAUCAGGUCUAAAGAAUAAAACAGAAAGCCUUUGUUUCUCUGCAAAAUUCAUCAUUCAUCUCUCUACGUGCAUUUAUAAACACUAAAGAUAUCAAGCUUAAAAUAUACUAAAGUAAUUGAAUAUAUCCAUUUCAAAAAAGUAGACCAAACAAGUGCAUUUAGCGCAGCCUUAAGUGUUAUACAACCUUUUAGAAAAAACUACAGUGGAAAAUAAACAAAAGGCCCUAGUCCAUUUAUUCAAAACUGCUUCUGCAGGCACACCCAUCUAUUCCAGACUGACUCCCACACACACACAUGCACACACAGAUACACACACUCUCUCUCAGAAACAGCUAAAAACUACACUGAAGCAUGCCUCUAAAUUAGACAGAGACACUGGGGUGACACGGAGCAGACACACACUGGUCCUGUGUACUGAGGAGGGCAGCAGCAGCAGCCGGAGCAGGGUGUAUUUUUACACCAGAUCCCUGACACCUCUGUACAUCUCUUCACAGCUCUCGGUGAGAACAGAAGACACGUCCACUUGAGUUGUCAUCAUCUGCGGCCCCAGACGUGGACAGUUGGGAUGGAGGGAAAUGCAAGAGAGAAAGAGAGAGAGAGAGAGGGGAAACUAGAUAAUGAGGGAGACAAGUGUCAGCAUCUUCUCCAGCUUUGUUUUUGGCACUUCCUUUAGCAGUGACAGCGGGUUAGCAUGUACACGAACACAGGUGUGAGUGAGAUGAGAGGGGUUGUCGGUGGCAGAUGGGAACUUUCCCUGGAAGUGUCAGGUCUCAUGGUGCGCAGGUUUGAUGAGGAGUGAAAGGAUUCAGGGGAUGGGUGUAGGGUUAAUGCACAUGUCUGAGCAGAUAAACAAGCUGAUUUGAGGUUGAGAGAGCGGGGACUUGAGGGUGUAAAAUGGAUAAACAAGAAGAAGAAGAAGGAGGAGAAGAAGAAGGCGGGGUUAUGAUAUGAUUAGAGUGGAGGAGUUAAGAGAGGAGAACAUGAGAAAGAGAGUUGUGUAGGGGAAGUAGCUGGAGUUUUCCAGGGGGAGCUGUCUGUGGUGCUGAUGCAAAAAAAAAAAAAAAAAAACACCCCCCUUUUUCCCUAUGACUCUCCCCCUCUCUCUCGUUUUCUCUCCUCCACAGCUGUUGAUUGACAACUACUGUGUCUCUAAUUGGCAAGUGUAGAUGGUGGGAGAGUCAGGCUUAUUCUCCAUGGGACAGAGCGAGGAAAAGAAGAAGAGUGUGUCUGUGUGUGUGUGUGCUACUAGAGAGUCUUCCCACAAUAAGUGAGAGGAGGAGACAAAGAUAGGUAGACAGAAAAGGAAGGGAAAAAUGUAAUGGAGGAAGGCAUGAAGGUGAGAGCUGAACAUCUGUUUGAUAAUCAGAGUCUCCCCUCAGUGCAGUCUAACACACACUGACACCUAUUUGAUAAUUGGUGAGCCUGCCCUCUCCCUCAGCGCCGGGCUAAACGGUUGCUUGAUACCGGGGAGAGCAAAGGGACUAGCUGUUGGCAGUGCAAUCUGUUUACUCAGUGCAGCUCAGGUAAAGAUGCAUAGCCGGCUGCCUGCGUGUCUGUGUUUGUGUGUGUGUCUGUGCAUGUGUACGCUAGCUAUUGCAUAAAGCCUACAAUCUGGUUAUUAGUCUCACAUCGUGAACAAGACGUGACUUUAAGCAUGCGUGAAAUGUUGUAGUAGUACCUUUUGCUGCUGCUGCUGCAGUGUUACUCAAGGAUAAAUAUGUGUUUUGUCUUUCUUAUCCCAGAUGCUGUCCUGAAAGAUUUGCCUCCGCACAGACCUCCUCCUUCCUUCUCUUCACAUUGCGAUCACAUUCAGAGAGCUGAAGGAUGCGCACAGAGAAGGAGUGGAGUAAAGAAAGAAAAAAAGGAGGGAGAAAGUAAUGGAAGUGGGGGGUGGAGGCCUCUUUGCUCCGGUCUCGACAACGGGUAUUCUUGGGUUGAUAAUACAGAUGUGGAUGUUAUUGCUUGAGAAUACGCGUAGUCGAGAGGAAGCUUUGUCAUCUACAAGGGUCCAAAAAGCAGAGAUCUUUUUGGAGGAAUACAAUGGCAGACACACACGAAACAUGGGAUGGUUUUUAAUUAGGCACCUAUGAGCGACUUUUUGUGGGAAAGGGUUUAUUUUGUUCUAUCAGGAAGGUUUUUCAAAUAGAACGCAAUCAGAGGCCGGUCAAAUCAAAUCCAGCCACUGAAAAGGUUUUAUCAUCAUAGCUUUAUCAACCAUGUCACUCUUCACACCUGUGGAGGAAAUGAGUUUGUUUCGCCGUCCGAAUUCAGUCCGUCCUGUGAAAGCGCUGGCAGCAAGUGGGGGGAAGACUAGCACCGUGCCACUAAGCUAAACCCCCCAGGCAUUAGUUCAGGGAGCUUAACACAAAAGUCUUCAGACUCAGACCUUAAUUCCCAAACCUUCUUGAUUACAUAUCCUUGUCAGUCAGUCGAGCACACAAGUGAGCCUAUAAUCUUAUCAGUUGAUGAAGGUCUUUCGCAGCCCUUCACACUCUGCACCAAACAUGUCUCUCAGACGAGACUGGUUUUAAAGUUUGCAAAAUUGGUGCCAAAAACAGCUUUUUUUUUUAGAUAUCGGGGACAGGAACCCUUGCUGUGCCACAGGAUAGUAUAGCUGUGCAUAGCCAUCAUCCUGCUCCCGCUCCUGCCUCUACUCUUCUAUUUUUUUUUGUCUUCCUGGCUCAUGCUAAAAAUGUGCGAAGAGUUUGAUGCCUGUAGCAGCAACAGGAGACAGUAACACAUGAGGACAUGUCAAGGCUUGCACCCGUUGCUGACGUUUCAGCUUUCGGCUCAACUGACUGGCUGUCAUGAUGGAGAGGAGACUCACACACACACACACACAGAUGCACACACGGGCAGACAUGUAUAUAAACUGCAGCAGGGUUCACAUGAUCAACAUGCCUGUAGGGAAAUAAGGGAUUGAUAGGUCUAAAGAAAACCAGCGUUCGAUUCCUUACAUAUAUUUGAAUGCACAAACAUCGCCACAUUGCAGCAAGGUUCACCGAGUCCAUGUGCCAGUGGGGAAAUAAGGGAUUGAUUGAUUUUAUGGGUAACUAUUUUUAGUCAGAAUGAUGGAUGUUUAUGUCUUUUAUUGAUCAAGUCGAGGUGCAGGUCUGAAGAAUUCUUAAAGUCAGGGCAUGCUGAUUUAUCAGGGAGCUGUGAAGUUGGAAUAAAACAUCCAGAAAUACAUUUUUGGUACAUUAGCAUUAUUGCUAAGUACUAUAAAUUAAAAACUCUGCGCUUCAUUGCAAAUUCAGCAGUAUAUUAGCAUCUGUUUGUGAAUGCGCCUGUGAUAAAUUACUCUCUUAUCGUUUACUACUCCAUGAUUUCUUACUCCUGUGUAAGCAAAUCUCUUAUUUAUUAGCACAGAAAGUAAUCAUAAUUUAUACACAUUUCACACUGACGUUGUGUAAACUUGUUGAUUUGGCAAAGCUGUUUCUGUGGUUUUUGUGCGUAUUUGUGCAUGCGUGUGUGUGUGUAUGUGUGUGUUCUAAGCAACAAAAUGACUAUUGUGAGCACAGCUCCAGGUGCCUAGCAACCGAAUUGCUCUGUUUCCUUGGCAACAGUUGCCUUGCACUCACUGUGUGGGUGAUUGGCAGCCUUGACAACGGAGACGGAGUGACACUUGACCUCACGUGCUGAAUGGGAGAGGAGAAAGGAGUGAGAGAUAGAAGAGAGAGGGGGAGGCAGUGGGAGGGGACGAGCGCAGACAGAUGAGAGACUAAGUGAUAAUCAUUCUCCAUUGUAAUCAUCCUCCAGCAUGUUUCAUAAGGCAGUGGCAAUACCUCUCCAGCUGGGGUCCAUCAUCAAACACACUGCACAGUUAGGCACGCGCAUGCACGACACACUCCUUCUUGGGUGGAGAGCCCAGGCAGGCACUCCAUAUCUCAUCUACUAUCACUCAGCUCUGCCUGGUGCACAGCCUCACUACGCUGUGUCUGCUUUCAUUUGUGAUCUGCUGCAUCCUGCGCUCAGCGGGCAUGAAUGGAUCCUGGACUCCUGAAAAUGUGUCACGGUCACAGAUGCCACAGGAGGGUAGAUCAGAAGGCACGCACAGAGACAUUGUUCUUUGAAAACCAGCACUUCCACUGCUGUUUGGCACCUUUGAAUAAAAGUGGUGUAAUUAUUAAAAUGUGUUUUUGGUGGUUUUCCAUCCAUUCACUGGCUUAGGGGAUCCCAUUGUGUCAGGUUUAACAAAAAACAUGUUUUUCAUGGCUGGCUUCACCUGCAGAAAUGACAAAAAAAAGGAACAGUAGAAAUGUUCAAACUGUAAUAAAAAAAAAAAAAUGUAUUUUGAGUCUUUGAUUUUUCAAGUUACGUUUUAGUUUAAAAAAAACAGAAAUGUGAAUUUUUUUAAGGCUCUUUGAUACAAAUUACAAUACAAAUUUUCCUUUACCUUUAUCUUAAGUGCAACUAUGAUGUUUACUGUUGUUCAACCAGAAUCCCUUUAUGCUUGAAUCAUCUCUUUAACCCUCCUCCUGUGUUAGGGUCUGUACCGACCCGUUUUUGUUUUUAAAUGCUUAAAAGAACCACGUAAAUUAGAUUUUUAAAUUGACUAAAUUCUAAAAUGCUCUUAUUAAGAUUAUGGCCCUUGUCGUGUUGAGGUCGCUGUUGACCCGGUUAGAUCAAUAUCUAAUAAUUAGAGCAAAAACUGAAAUCAUAAGUGCACUGUCAGGCACCACACUGACAGUCAGAUCCUCUUCCAAUCAUGUAAGAUUUAGGAAAUUCUCAUUUUGCCUGUUUUUCCCUUCACGAGAAACUACGUUGGGCAUGUCCAGACAUGUGAGAUCAAUUCAGUAUAGAUGUCUGUAUGAGGGGUGAACCGACAAAGAAAGGCCCAGAGGACCACACCAAAAAAUAUUGUAAGCAAUAUUCUCAUGGAUAAUGAAGCCUAACAAGUUAACCUAGAGACGAGAACUAAAUUGGGUGAUAGAGAAUUGUUUUUAGUGUAAUUUACAGCUGAUUUAAGAUAUGGGUCAAAACCGACCCUUGACAUGGUGGUUGUGUAGUAAAAGCUAACAGGCGAGGAAGGAUAAUCAAUAAAUUAAUAACUCCUUCCAGAAAUAAUGCCAAUUCGCAACAAAUGUAAUUGCAAGAUGCUUUGCAAAAAAACUGGUCUUAGUCAUACUCUUCACAAUAUUUACAAAGACCUUAACAUCAAGAUAAAAUGAGAUCAAAUCCCAUCUUGUAAUAUCAGACCCACUCUGAUCACAUCUCUACCUACCAUGAGUAUCAAAGCAUCCUUUUAAGGGCAGAAACCUUCAGCAGAACCAGAUUCAUGUGAGACAGUCACCUGCUGAGAGUGCUGUGAGUUUAGAGGGGGAUGCAAAGAGAGAGAGAGAUGGGUAGAGGUUUACAUUAACAACAGUAGUGCAUGCAGAUAAAUCAUUACUGUGCCUGAGAUAAUGAGCACAGUAGUAUGCUCGCUUGGUUGAUGGCAAGUUUAAGUCAUCAGGUCAAUAGUAAUAGCAUAGCAGUAAUUACAUUUGAAACUAUGAUGUUGAGGUAAAUAAUGGGGGUUGGAGGAUGAUUGAAGGAGGAG